rnacentral:rRNA from 1 species
GACGAACGCUGGCGGCGUGCCUAAUACAUGCAAGUUGAGCGCUGAAGGUUGGUACUUGUACCAACUGGAUGAGCAGCGAACGGGUGAGUAACGCGUGGGGAAUCUGCCUUUGAGCGGGGGACAACAUUUGGAAACGAAUGCUAAUACCGCAUAAAAACUUUAAACACAAGUUUUAAGUUUGAAAGAUGCAAUUGCAUCACUCAAAGAUGAUCCCGCGUUGUAUUAGCUAGUUGGUGAGGUAAAGGCUCACCAAGGCGAUGAUACAUAGCCGACCUGAGAGGGUGAUCGGCCACAUUGGGACUGGGACACGGCCCAAACUCCUACGGGAGGCAGCAGUAGGGAAUCUUCGGCAAUGGACGAAAGUCUGAACGAGCCACGCCGCGUGAGUGAAGAAGGUUUUCGGAUCGUAAAACUCUGUUGGUAGAGAAGAACGUUGGUGAGAGUGGAAAGCUCAUCAAGUGACGGUAACUACACAGAAAGGGACGGCUAACUACGUG